AGGGUAUAUCACUACAGACCUAUAGCUGGAAAAAAGAAGAAAUCAGGAGAAACUCAAUUUAGAAAAAGAAUUAGGUUGAAUUACGAAAGAUGGGGUAAAAUAUCAUCUGCUCUGGCCAGGAUUCAAGUAAGGCUGAGUAGUCUUCCACUUGUGCCACAUUCAACAAAUCACCUGAUAUCAUGUUCAUCACAUCUAACAACUGCCUCGUAGCCUGAGAACUCAGCUAAUUCCAGACACUCUGCUGAGAAGUCUGAGACAGAACAGUAAUGUGAGGGAGAAGAAGGGCACACAAAUUAUCAUUUAAUGCAGUGCUUUAGAGGUAGCUAAGAUGGUGGAAUAUGAAGACCCAGAACUCACCUCCUCUCACAAACAAACCAAAUUUACAACUAUUUACAGGGCAACUGCCCAUGAGAAUGAUCCAAGACUAGCAGAAAAGAUUUUCUACAAUUAAGACUUGCCAAUAAGAGUAUCCCAAAGAGACAGGAAGAACUAAGACUCUACUUGGAGAAUAAACACUGGCAACAACCAUUUUGGGAGUUUAUUAUACCACUAUAGCACCACUGCUGGUAGAAACCAUUUUGGAAUUCUCUCUCUAGCAUAGUAGUGUUGGGCCUUACACUCACCAGGAGGCAAGCACCGUUCCUGAGUACCCCACCCCCAAGUGCUAAAGAGACAGCCCAUGAGGACCCAAUCCUGCUUCCCAGAAGGCCAGCACCAGCCCUGCACUACCCUGAAACAAACAACCAAUCAUGCAAGAAACCUACCCUGUGCCUCACAGCAAACUGGGCAGACCUACAGCCUCACAGCAAACUGGGCAGAGGCCACUCCCACCCACAGUAGUCAGCCCUACUACUAAAAAAGGGUGCACAUAGUCCAUAUAGGGAGUAUCCCUAGAACAUACAGCUCUGGUGAAAAAGAGGAGCAUGGUUUUGGAGGUCCUCUAUGAUAUCUUUUAUAUAAGGCUACUUCUCCAAUAUUAGCAAACACAAUCAUCCUUCCUAACACAGAGAAAGCAACAGAGAGAAUUGGGGAAAAUGAAGAGACUGGAAUAUGUUCCAAAUGAAGCAAUAAGACCAAACCUGAGAAAAGAACUAAAAAACAAGUGGGUACAUGCAAUCUACAAGAGUACAAGAUAAUGAUCACAAAUAUGCUUACCAAACAUUUGAGAAGGAUUUUGAGAUAUUGAAGAUAUGUUUGAGAUAAAAGAUUAAGAUGAACACAGUGAGAAUUUUAACAAAUAUGCAAAAAUAUAAAUAAGAACCAAACAGAGCAAAAGAAUGCAAUCACUGAAAUAAAAAUAUACUAGAAGAAUUCAACAGUAGAUUAAAUGACAUGAAGGAAUGAGUCAGAGAACUGGAGGACACAGUCAUGAAAAUCAUCAAGUGAGACAGAAAAGAAGAGAAAAAAAAUUAAUGAGGAUAAUUUAAGAGACCUUUGAGACAGCAUCAAGCAUAUUAACAUUUCCAUUCUGUGGAUCUUAGAAGGUGAAGAAAGAAAGAGACAGAUAACUUAUUUGAAGAAAUAAUAACUGAAAAAUUAUCCAACCUGAGGGAGAAAACAAACAUCCAUGUACAGAAAGCACUGAGGGACACAAAGAAGAUGAAUCCAAAAAGUCCACAUCAAAACAAUAUAAUUAAAAAGAAAAAAGUUAAAGAUAAAGUGAAAAAUCUUAAAAUCAACAAGAGAAAAGUCAGCUAGCUAUAUAUAAGAACUCCUAUAAGGCCACCAACUGACUUUUUAGCAGAAACUCUAAAGGCCAGAAAGGAGUAGCAUGAUAUAUUCAAAGUAAUGAAAGGAAAAAGACCUACAACCAAAAAUACUCUACGCAGCAAGGCUAUGAUAUACAUUUGAAGGAGAAAUAAGAGUUUUUCAUAUAAGCUAAAGUUAAAAACAUUCAGCAUCACUAAACUGGUCUUAAAUAAAAUGGUAAAGGAAGUUCUCUAAAUGUUCCAACCAAAAGGCACAGAGUGGCUGAAUAGACAGAAAAACAAUACUCAUAUGCGAGCUGCCUACAAAGAACUCAUUUCAGAAGCAAGCACAUGCACACAGACUGAAAGUGAAAGGAUGAAUGAACGUGAAAGGAUGAAGAAAGGUAUUCCUUCCGUGCAAAUGAAAGUCAAAAGAAAGCUGAAGUAGCAAUACUUAUUUCUGACAAAACAGGCUUCAAAAUGAAGACUGUUAUAAGAGACAAAGACAUUACUUAAUAAUA